CUCAUCCUACAGCCUUUAAAGGUCUUUUUAGAUGAUUCUGCAGGACUGUUUAUGCAGCGUCAGCGACAUCUUACGGACCGUCAGCGAACGUUACUUCAACAGCACUGGGAACAGCACUGCCGAACGAAUGGCAACGGUAAGCCCCACGGGUAUGUGCUGUACAGUGCUCCCAGGUGCUGCACACUGCGAUUACGUGAACCAAUCGCCAAUGGCACGCUUAACUGGCAGCAAGCAGCUGGGGCAGCGGGAACUGGGCCUGCAGCAAAUCACUACCUAAAACCAACCUCCAAUGUGUGUGAAUACGAUUAUGGAUUAUGCUUCCCAAUCCAGCUAUUUAGUUACCGUUAGUGCCGCACCGCAACGGAGGAGUGCGUGGAGAAGGUAGCAGAUAGCAGGGAGGAAGCGAAAGGACGGUGCCCGUUCCGCGAAACAGGCCGCGAAACGGCGACGAACCUGCCUCUUCCGCUCUAAUGGAGGACGCUCGGGACACUCUGCGAGGAGUCGGCGGCGGCGGCGGCGGCGGUGUGUGUGUGCUGGCACUACCCUAAAUAGGAUUAUGCAAACACUGGCGAAUUGCGCGAAGGCAUCGCGCGCGCUCGAAACCGGCCUGCCUGCCUGUCUUGCCUGGCAGUCCCUUCCCGCGACGUUGCUCGGCCGAAGAGCUCGGGUCCGGCACGGUCCUGCGUGUGCGCCCGCGCUCAGUUCGAUCCCGAAGAUAGGCCCGAUAGUACGUCGCCAAGGCACUGCUGUGCUUACCUGCGCCCUUGUGCAUGGUUGUGGGUGUCCCCGGUGGUGGUGGUGGUGGUAGUGGUGUCUGUCCCGCAAUCCGGUCGACAACGCGGAUGGAUCUCGCACCGCCCGUAAUCGCUGUGCAGUGUCUUUCCGGGGCUGUGGCCAUCGUACGGAAGUGUCCCGCGGUUGUGAUUGCCGAUCUCGAGAUCAGUGCGCCAGUGAGACAGCAGCCGUGCUAGAAUUUGCUGUGCGUACCCUGAUCCCCCCCCCCUCACCCCUGAAAAAAAAAAACUCGAGCAAUUAGUUAGUGCCCCAUUUGUGGAGCGGACCACCCGCCCGAAGUGCAGCCAGUCGGUCGCAAACGGGGGAACGGGGAAAAAAGAGGAAUUACAUCAGGGUCGCAGCUUUCCACGAACGGCUAGCACAAUGAAGCCCAAACCGCGACGGUGGUACCGCUGGUAGGAGGUGGGCUAGUUGAGGGUGGUGGUGGCGGUGGUGGUGACGCGAGUGAAGGCGCGCAGCUGUGAAACGAGGCUUCAGAGUGGACGACUCUGCAAGGUUGUUUAUAGUCACACAUAGGGCAGGCUAAAAAUCGAUGAUGAUUAGUGCCGGAAAGGGGGUACGGGAAGACUGAUACUGAUAGAGAACGGCAGAAGAAGAAGAAGAAGAAGAAGGAGACCAACACAGCUAUAGUGUCACCUCGCGCACACACACACACACAUAUCCACAUUAUACCACAAUCAUUACUAUCGCAGAAUAGCGCUGGGUGCGUCUGUUGUGCGUCGUUCCGAGUGUGCUUGGGUGGCUGUGCCUAGCCUCCUCUUCAAAAAUUGCGCGACAAGAUCCCGGACCGGAUCACGACGGGGGUGACGAAAGCCUGGAGCCUGGUAGUGGUGGUGGGGGUCGCGGUGGUGUUGGUGGUGGUGGUCGUGGUGCCUGACCAGCAGGACGGAUCGAUUGAGCGCGGCAAAGGGAAGCGACGGACGGCGAUGGCGAGCAGGGCAGCGGUGGUGCUCGGUUUGGUACUGGCCAGCCUGCGACCGCUGGCAGUGGAGGGAAAAAUUUACAGAAACUACUCCGACAUCGGCGAACUGUCCAAGAAUCAUGCCAGCCUGUCGCUGUCCGAUAUACUGCCAACACACCAGAAAACAUACGACAAAAACCGUGCACCUAAGCUGCUAGGUCAACCGACAGUCGUCUACUUCCAUGUCACUGUCCUAUCGAUCGACUCCAUCAACGAGGAGUCCAUGACGUACGUGGCGGACAUCUUUUUGGCACAAAGCUGGCGCGAUCCGCGCCUACGGCUACCAGAAAACAUGAGCGAAGAGUACCGGAUACUGGACGUCGACUGGCUGCACAGCAUCUGGCGGCCGGACUGCUUCUUCAAGAACGCCAAAAAGGUGACGUUUCACGAGAUGAGCAUACCGAACCACUACCUCUGGCUGUACCACGACAAGACGCUGCUGUACAUGUCCAAGCUGACGCUCGUCCUGUCCUGUGCGAUGAAGUUCGAGUCGUACCCGCACGACACGCAGAUCUGCUCGAUGAUGAUCGAAAGUUGUAAGUAUGGGCAGUACCAGGGGAAGGGAUGCAGGGUUGUAUGGAAGAAGUUACAAAGGAAGAAGUUGGCGGAAGAGUUGCCCGAGGUUUGGUUUUUUGGUGGUUUUGGGCCCCGUGGAAUCCGUGGAAGCGUGUAGCUGAAUGUCGUGCAGGCGGAGCAUUUGGAGGUGAGAGAUCUGGCUUUGGAAUGUAAGGUGUUGUGUGUUAUUAGUAGAUACUGCUAUGAAUACUUCAGCUCCAGCAAUCCCUAUCGGUAGUGUUACUGUACCCGGCUGGUAAGAGUUGUUCGGUAGCUUGCUAGACAAUUUCGCAAACGUUCUACGCUCUGCCUCCAAAACCUGGGGACGACCUCCAAUAGUCCGUUUUUAUUCGCAACGAUGUACCAGCCAGUGCCCAAUCAACGAUUCAGCCGCCUCAGCUCGAUCAGAAACAUCAUCACCGAGUAGCUUGUCUUCAGCAUGCUGGCGAACGUUUGCCACGAC